rnacentral:rRNA from 1 species
GAGUUUGAUCCUGGCUCAGGACGAACGCUGGCGGCGUGCUUAACACAUGCAAGUCGAGCGGUGACCCUCCUUCGGGGGGUGAUCAGCGGCGAACGGGUGAGUAACACGUGGGCAACCUGCCCCUCACACUGGGAUAACCUCGGGAAACCGGGGCUAAUACCGGAUACGACCUCGAGCGGCAUCUCUUGAGGUGGAAAGCUCCGACGGUGAGGGAUGGGCCCGCGGCCUAUCAGCUUGUUGGUGGGGUAAUGGCCUACCAAGGCGACGACGGGUAGCCGGCCUGAGAGGGCUACCGGCCACACUGGGACUGAGACACGGCCCAGACUCCUACGGGAGGCAGCAGUGGGGAAUAUUGCGCAAUGGGCGAAAGCCUGACGCAGCGACGCCGCGUGAGGGAUGAAGGCCUUCGGUUGUAACCGUACUUUCUAGCAGGACGAAGCGAAAGUAGACGGUACCUGCAGAAGAAG